rnacentral:rRNA from 1 species
UACGCAGGGUGCGGAGCGUUGUCCGGAAUUAUUGGGCGUAAAGAGCUCGUAGGCGGUUUGUUGCGUCGGCCGUGAAAACCUGCAGCUUCAACUGUGGGCCUGCGGCCGAUACGGGCAGACUUGAGUUCGGUAGGGGAGACUGGAAUUCCGUGGUGUAGCGGUGAACUGCGCAGAUAUCAGGAGGAACACCGGUGGCGAAGGCGGGUCUCUGGGCCGAUACUGACGCUGAGGAGCGAAAGCGUGGGGAGCGAACAGG